rnacentral:rRNA from 1 species
UACGUAGGGGGCAAGCGUUGUCCGGAUUUAUUGGGCGUAAAGAGCGUGUAGGCGGCCAUACAGGUCAGCUGUGAAAACUCGAGGCUCAACCUCGAGACGCCGAUGGAAACCCUCCAGCUAGAGUCCGGAAGAGGAGAGUGGAAUUCCUGGUGUAGCGGUGAAAUGCGCAGAUAUCAGGAAGAACACCCGUGGCUAAGGCGGCUCUCUAGUACGGUACUGACGCUGAGACGCGAAAGCGUGGGGAGCGAACAGG